AACGAACGCUGGCGGCAGGCCUAACACAUGCAAGUCGAGCGAGAUCUUCGGGUCUAGCGGCGGACGGGUGAGUAACGCGUGGGAAUAUGCCUCUUGGUACGGAAUAGCCUCGGGAAACUGGGAGUAAUACCGUAUGUGCCCUUUGGGGGAAAGAUUUAUCGCCAAGAGAUUAGCCCGCGUUGGAUUAGGUAGUUGGUGGGGUAAUGGCCUACCAAGCCGACGAUCCAUAGCUGGUUUGAGAGGAUGAUCAGCCACACUGGGACUGAGACACGGCCCAGACUCCUACGGGAGGGAGCAGUGGGGAAUCUUAGACAAUGGGGGCAACCCUGAUCUAGCCAUGCCGCGUGAGUGAUGAAGGCCUUAGGGUUGUAAAGCUCUUUCAGCUGGGAAGAUAAGGACGGAACCAGCAGAAGAAGCCCCGGCUAACUCCGU
rnacentral:rRNA from 1 species